GCUCCUGCUAGUUGCUUUGUUUGUUACUGGUCUUGAUGAUAAUUUACACACUGCUGCAAGAUUAGGAUUUGCUCCUGCCAGUUGCUUAGUUUGUUAUUGGUCAUGAUUUGCUCAAACCUUAGUUUCUCUGCUACCUGUGCUCCAUUUGCAGAACCUGCUAGAUCAGAUGCUCCUAACUGCUUUCUUACGAGAUCAUGAAACCCAUUCUGGUCCCAUAUCUUUUUUUUUGAUAGAAUUCUGGUCCCAUAUCUUGUCAUGAGCUAGAAGCAUAUCUUUCCAUUCUUUAUCCAAUUUUUUAGCAUGGUCUGUUGGCCGCCAGUGGAAGAGUACAAUAUUAUAGGCAGCAAUUUUACCUUUUAAUAUACUUGUCUAACAUGUAUGUAUAUGAUAAUAUGAAGAAGUACCCAGAGUAUUUUACUAACUAUAGUACCCGUAAGGGGUAGACUCCAUUUAAUAAUAAUAGUUUUUGUAAGAUUUGAUUCUACAAAAAAAAUGAAUUUUAUACUACAUAUAUAAAUUCCAGGAUGUAAAUAGCUAUGUAUCAUGUAUGGUUAUGCUUGUUCCUUCAUUCUGCAGUUCCCUUUUUGCUUGUUCCUUCAUUUUGCAUUCUUCAUUCUCUUCUGUCUAUUCCCCCUGUCCACCAUCACAGAUUCAACAGGUGACCUUGGAGUUCUUGGAACUGGAAUACCAAUAGGAAAACUUGAUAUGUAUGUUGUUGUAGCUGGUAUUAAUUCAGUCAUUGGGAGAUCAAGCGAAAUACCAAGCAACACACCAAGUUAUAUUAUCUUUCAUGAUGUAAAACUUAGCUAGGAAACUUGAAAAUUGAAAUGUAUGAAUGCGAUAACAAUGUUCCUUAAAUUCAGUAUUUGAUAAAUUGAUGUAUCACAAGGCUUUUGGUACAAAUAUUGAUCAUGGUUUGCAUUCAAUUUGAUUUCCAAUUGAUUA